CUUGGUGAUUUUCCACGGCUUUCUUGAACUGUAUAUAUUAUCAAUGGCUUUUUACAAGACUGGAAGAUGGUUUCCAUGGAGAAGAAUUGUCACAAAAACAGUUCAAGAAAGCCCUGAAAAAUUAUUU
rnacentral:pre_miRNA from 1 species